rnacentral:lncRNA from 1 species
CCUGGACCUCUGAGGAGAGGAGAGGGGCUGAAGGUUGAGUUGCUCACCAAUGCCAGUGACUUAAUCAAUCAUAUCUAUGUAAUUAUGCCUCCAUAAAAUCCCAAAAUGACUAAUUUCAAAGAACUUCUCGGUUAGUGAAAACAUUUGCAUGCCAGAAGGCGCUCGCACUCCAACUCAGCACAGGGAGGAGGCUCGGAAGGAACUGGUUAAGAGAUCAGAGUAACUUUUGAGCUAAUGAGGACACUAGGUGACAUCAAGCCCAAACACUUUCUGAACAAGUGGCUGGUCCUGAGAGGUGAUCGAGGUCACACAACUAUAAGAUAUAAGCAGGAACUGAAAAAUCACAUCUCCAGACUCAUCACUUGGU